CUCAAAGAUGACUCUACAAUAGGUUUCGGAUUUGAUCUAAUCUAAUCCAACUCUAUGGGUUUACUAGAUUGUGUCGGUUCUUCUACCGAUCGAACCUCAUCAAGUUUAAUCUUAGAGAUAUUAGUUUCUUCUCCAAAGAAAUUUUUUUCUAAAAAGACUGUCAUAUUACUGAUGAACACCUUUUAUUCAUCAGCAAGGUAGAAGUAAUACCCUUUAGUCUCUUUUGGAUAUCUUAUAAAUAGAUAUUUAUCAUAUCUAGGUCCA
rnacentral:lncRNA from 1 species